AUUGAACGCUGGCGGCAGGCUUAACACAUGCAAGUCGAACGGAGUGGCGGACGGGUGAGUAAUGCUUGGGAAUCUGGCUUAUGGAGGGGGAUAACGACGGGAAACUGUCGCUAAUACCGCGUACCAUAGGAUGAGCCUAGGUCGGAUUAGCUAGUUGGUGGGGUAACGGCCUACCAAGGCGACGAUCCGUAACUGGUCUGAGAGGAUGAUCAGUGACACUGGAACUGAGACACGGUCCAGACUCCUACGGGAGGCAGCAGUGGGGAAUAUUGGACAAUGGGCGAAAGCCUGUGCCAGCCAUGCUGCGUGUGUGAAGAAGGGCUUCGGAUUGUAAAGCACUUUAAGUUGGGAGGCGUUACCAACAGAAUAAGCACCGGCUAACUACGUGCCAGCAGCCGCGGUAAUAC
rnacentral:rRNA from 1 species